CUGUGCCCCCCCCCAGCUGGCCCUGACCAUGUGGUUGAUGACCUACGUGGGAGCUGUUUUCAACGGCAUCACCCUCCUCAUCCUCGCUGACAUCUUGGCCUUCACCGUCCCGCCCCUGUACGAGAAAUACGAGGUGCAGAUCAAUCACUACAUGGCCCUCGUCCGCCGCCAGACCAAGGACCUCAUGGCCAAGUAGGUGCUCACGGGGCCCCCCCAAAAUCCUGGGGACCCCCCCCAAAAAAUCCUGGGGACCCCCCCAAAUC